rnacentral:piRNA from 1 species
AGCCUCAUCACUUCUUGGCUGUUUGGGU